rnacentral:siRNA from 1 species
UUAUCUUUAAUUUCUCGAACUGCA